UACGUAGGGGGCUAGCGUUGUCCGGAAUCAUUGGGCGUAAAGCGCGCGUAGGCGGCCAGAUAAGUCCGGUGUGAAAGUCACAGGCUCAACCUGUGAAUGCCGCUGGAAACUGUCUGGCUAGAGUCCGGAAGGGGCGAGUGGAAUUCCUGGUGUAGCGGUGAAAUGCGCAGAUAUCAGGAGGAACACCGAUUGCGAAGGCAGCUCGCUGGGACGUAACUGACGCUGAGACGCGAAAGCGUGGGGAGCAAACAGG
rnacentral:rRNA from 1 species